rnacentral:rRNA from 1 species
CUUAUGCGUUGUUGGGUAGGGGAGCGUUCUGUAAGCCUGUGAAGGUGUGUCGUGAGGCAUGCUGGAGGUAUCAGAAGUGCGAAUGCUGACAUAAGUAACGAUAAAGCGGGUGAAAAGCCCGCUCGCCGGAAGACCAAGGGUUCCUGUCCAACGUUAAUCGGGGCAGGGUGAGUCGACCCCUAAGGCGAGGCCGAAAGGCGUAGUCGAUGGGAAACGGGUUAAUAUUCCCGUACUUGGUGUUACUGCGAAGGGGGGACGGAGAAGGCUAUGUUGGCCGGGCGACGGUUGUCCCGGUUUAAGCGUGUAGGUGUGUGUUCCAGGUAAAUCCGGUUCACUUUAACACUGAGGCGUGACGACGAGGCACUACGGUGCUGAAGCAACAAAUGCCCUGCUUCCAGGAAAAGCCUCUAAGCAUCAGGUAACAUCAAAUCGUACCCCAAACCGACACAGGUGGUCAGGUAGAGAAUACCAAGGCGCUUGAGAGAACUCGGGUGAAGGAACUAGGCAAAAUGGUGCCGUAACUUCGGGAGAAGGCACGCUGACACGUAGGUGAAGUGAUUUACUCAUGGAGCUGAAGUCAGUCGAAGAUACCAGCUGGCUGCAACUGUUUAUUAAAAACACAGCACUGUGCAAACACGAAAGUGGACGUAUACGGUGUGACGCCUGCCCGGUGCCGGAAGGUUAAUUGAUGGGGUCAGCGCAAGCGAAGCUCCUGAUCGAAGCCCCGGUAAACGGCGGCCGUAACUAUAACGGUCCUAAGGUAGCGAAAUUCCUUGUCGGGUAAGUUCCGACCUGCACGAAUGGCGUAAUGAUGGCCAGGCUGUCUCCACCCGAGACUCAGUGAAAUUGAACUCGCUGUGAAGAUGCAGUGUACCCGCGGCAAGACGGAAAGACCCCGUGAACCUUUACUAUAGCUUGACACUGAACAUUGAGCCUUGAUGUGUAGGAUAGGUGGGAGGCUUU